CUGAGUAUAUACUUGAUCCAUGUUUACUGGGAGAAACUCUGCUACCUCAGGCAAUUUGCUUAUCUUUGAAGUGCACAGUGGUCUGAGUUCCCUGCUCAGCUCUGAAGUGGGGAGGUGGGUAUGGGGGAGGCAAAAAUGCAGGGCGACAGACCAGGUAUGUUCCCCAAUGGCAACAUAAGCACCAGUGCUGAGGGAGAAUACAAUGAACAGCCACUGAGCACCCAGAGGUGUCCCUAGAUGUGGAGCUGGGAAGCCUCCUUGUCCCCAAGUACUCUGCAUGGGGAGUGGGGGUGGCCUAAGCUGCUAAUUCAGGAGAGUGGGUGCUUCAGAUUCCUAGAGAUUUGCCAGGGCAUGAAGUGUGGAAGGCCCUGCUGUAUGAAGAUGGAGUCCUGGUCUGUCACUCAGGCUGGAGUACAGUGGUGCAAUCGCAGCUCACUGCAACCUCUGCCUCCCAGGUUCAAGUGAUUCUCCUGCCUCAGCCUUCUGAGUAGCUGGGAUUACAGGUAUGUGCCACCACGCCUGGCUGAUUUUUGUGUUUUUAAUAGAGACGGUGUUUCACCAUGUUGGUCAGGCUAGUCUCGAACUCCUGACCUCAUGAUCCGCCUGCCUCAGCCUCACAAAGUGCUGGGAUUACAGGCAUAAGCCACCAUACCCGGCCCUGUAGUUCCCUUCUUUUCAGUAUUCUCUCCUGUGCAUUCUAACCACCUGGUUCUCAGCUGAUUUGAGCUCUGUUUACUCAGGGAGUUGGCCAAACCUGACCUGAGUUCUUCUUCCAUGCACCACAUCUGGAAUCUCUAUCAAGACCUAAGCUAGACCAAUUACUCACUACAUUUGUUUCCCAUCUCCCUCAAAAUUAUUCUUCAUAAUCUGCUAUCUAGUGACUUGAAACUUAGUUGUUUUUUGUUUGUUUGUUUUUAGGAAGGAAGGUAAAUCCAGUCACUGCUGGUAGGAAGCAGAAGUCCUGGUGUUAACUAAAUUAGUAAAAGAUAAAAUAGGCUUUAAUAAAAAUAUUGUUAGGAAUAAGUAAGGUCAGUGCAUAAAAACUAAAGAAGCUAUUUACCAAGAAAUAUGAAAUCCAGAAUAUCAAGGAAUUGCUGUCAUAGAAUCCAAGCUCUUUAGCCUCAAUACAAUACAUUUUAAAAUAAUGAACAAAAAACAUGGCCUUAUAGAAUCUCACGAAAUAUUGAUGCAUGAUGUGGUAAUUUGGAGCAUAAAAAAGAAGUCAUAUUUGAGAAUAAAUGGAUUAAUUCUAAGAAUAUAUAAAGAACGUGUACAAAUUGAUCAUAAAACCCAAUAGAAAAACAGACACAAGAUUUAGCAAACAUUUUGUAAAAGAAGAAACAUGAAUGUUUAAUAAACAUAAAAUUCACUUAUUUUCCAGUAAGCAGGGAAAUGGCAGAGGAACAGUAAUUUGGCAAUAUCUAUAGCAUAUGUGACACUUAGAACACAUAAUUUUUUAACACCUCACUCCUCUAUACAAAAUUAUUUUCAGUGAUAAUUAUGAAAUGAAAUUAUAUGCGGUUUUGAAGACACUAGAUAGUUCAAAAUAGAUGUAGAUGUUGCUUCCCUGCCUCUGGUUUUCUUUUGUUUUACAAUUGUCUUUGCUGAACUUCACUGAGUCAGUCAUUGUGUUCGGUCCCCACUUCAGAUCUCUACAAAAUUCACAAUAAUUACGAGCCAAUAUAGUCAUGACUUUAAGUUCCUCCAUGUUCCUGUGGGACAACAAAGAAACCACAACUAUUUAUUCUACAGUUUUUAUAUAUACCUAAUUGUUUGAAUUUGGAUCAUCUGAUAAAAAUCAGAUAUAAUGUUUAAUAUACACGUCUGUCUAAUAACUAAUUCAUCAAUUAUAAUAAACCCAUUUUUUUCUUCAUACUUUAGUUUUAAAACAAGAUGAAUAAAUUUCAAUUCUAAAGAUACAGUUCAGAUUCAGCAUGACAUUUUAUGCAUGAACUAAAAUUUGCACUUAUCAAACAAAAAUUUUAGACCUCUCAGUUUAUACUUUGUCUCACCAUUUUAAAUAUUAAACACAAAUAAAUACUCCAAGUGGUGACAUAGAAUGACAAAUCUGAAAUGACUCAAAUUCUCUCUGCUUUUUCAGUCAUGGUAUCAUCCUUGUUUAUCUCAGAUCUGUUUAAACAUAGGAAGAUGUAGUGCCACAGGGAUUGCAGAUAUGGUUUGAGCAGAAGCCCAAGCAAACAUAGGCC
ensembl:lncRNA